UACGGAGGGUGCGAGCGUUGUCCGGAAUCAUUGGGCGUAAAGGGCGCGUAGGUGGCCCGGUCAGCGUGCGGUGAAAGCUCGGGGCUCAACCCCGAGUCGGCCGUGCGAACUGCUGGGCUCGAGCACUGUAGAGGCAGGCGGAAUUCCGGGGUGUAGCGGUGGAAUGCGUAGAGAUCCGGAAGAACACCGGUGGCGAAGGCGGCCUGCUGG
rnacentral:rRNA from 1 species